rnacentral:rRNA from 1 species
UGAGGGAUAUUGCGCAAUGGGGGCAACCCUGACGCAGCGACGCCGCGUGAGUGAGGAAGGCCCUCGGGUCGUAAAGCUCUGUCAAGAGGAAAGAAGUGCAUAGUAGUUAAUACCUGCUAUGUUUGACGGUACCUCUAAAGGAAGCACCGGCUAACUCCGUGCCAGCAGCCGCGGUAAUACGGAGGGUGCAAGCGUUGUUCGGAAUCACUGGGCGUAAAGGGCGCGCAGGCGGUUUGGUAAGUCAGAUGUGAAAGCCCACGGCUUAACUGUGGAAGUGCAUUUGAAACUGUCAGACUUGAGUACCAGAGGGGAAAGUGGAAUUCCCGGUGUAAUGGUGAAAUUCGUAGAUAUCGGUGGGAAUACCUGUGGCGAAGGCGACUAUCUGGCUGAGUACUGACGCUGAGGCGCGAAAGCGUGGGGAGCAAACA